UACAGAGGGUGCGAGCGUUGUCCGGAAUUAUUGGGCGUAAAGAGCUCGUAGGCGGUUUGUCGCGUCUGCUGUGAAAACCCGAGGCUCAACCUCGGGCCUGCAGUGGGUACGGGCAGACUAGAGUGCGGUAGGGGAGAUUGGAAUUCCUGGUGUAGCGGUGGAAUGCGCAGAUAUCAGGAGGAACACCGAUGGCGAAGGCAAUCCCCUGGGCCUGCACUGACGCUCAUGCACGAAGCGUGGGGAGCAACAGG
rnacentral:rRNA from 1 species